UACGGCUAUGUCAAGUUGGAAUACCGGUUCUCGUACGAUCGCUGAAGUUAAACAACGUCGAGCCUGGUCAGUACCUAGAUGGGUAACCACUUGGGAAUACCAGGUGCUGAAA